CCUCCGAAAGGAAGGAAUAUGCUCCGAGCAAACAUCAAGUGGUUUAACAUCGCUGUCACUGUCAGCCAUAGUUAUGUGUCCGACUAAAUAUCAAUAAAUAGGCUUCCAAGCCACUCAAUCUGGUCACCUAUGACCACACAGUUGAUCAUAUCAUACAUUAACUAAUGUGAAUAUAACAUUUACAGUCAUAUGGUUCCCACUGAACUUGCAAGUGUGCAACAUCCAGGCAUAAUCCGUAAUUCCCUGAACAUGUAUGACAGGCAGUUCCAGUUUCCCUUGUCCUUCUUUCUCUUUCCCCUAGGUUACUAGUUUAAUAAAACCAAGGCAUGAACAACAAUUAUUCAGUGGUAAACCUAUCAGAUUGGGUUGAAGCAUGCCGCGGCCUGAAGAACGGAAGCCUGAAAUCACUUGCAAAGCACAGGUAAAACAUGGCAUGGAUACCCAACCCAACCGACGACAUGUCUUCAGACAAACAUGAGCACUAGUGAAGUAAGAGUACGUAUAUCCAGUGCUGGUCCAACCAAGCAAGAAAACCUGACCUGAAACUAGUUGCAUGUCUCUUUCAGAGUUUCAGUUCAACUACCUAGAACAGCAACUCUCACCAACUAUGCUCCGACAAGGCACAGUUUCUUUUUUGACUACCAAUAAUAAUAAUAAUAAACAACGUUGCAACAUGUCAGUUUCGCACCACCCAGAGUCCCAGACAAAAAAAAAAAACCUCCAAUCCCGGAUCGAAAUUGAAGGGAUCUUACGGCGAGAUUUCUCAGGAUUGAGGAACACGAGGCGUGAGGAAGGAAGGAAAGGACGGAGGACGGGAGGAGGACGUACCGAGUGGCCCGAGCGGCGAGUGCAGCGCGG
rnacentral:misc_RNA from 1 species